rnacentral:piRNA from 1 species
GGGCAAGCCUGUGUGCUAUACUUCUUUGGU